AACGAACGCUGGCGGCAGGCCUAACACAUGCAAGUCGAGCGGACCUUUCGGGGUCAGCGGCGGACGGGUGAGUAACGCGUGGGAAUAUGCCCUUCUCUACGGAAUAGUCCCGGGAAACUGGGGGUAAUACCGUAUACGCCCUUUGGGGGAAAGAUUUAUCGGGGAAGGAUUAGCCCGCGUUGGAUUAGGUAGUUGGUGGGGUAAUGGCCUACCAAGCCGACGAUCCAUAGCUGGUUUGAGAGGAUGAUCAGCCACACUGGGACUGAGACACGGCCCAGACUCCUACGGGAGGCAGCAGUGGGGAAUCUUAGACAAUGGGGGCAACCCUGAUCUAGCCAUGCCGCGUGAGUGAUGAAGGCCUUAGGGUUGUAAAGCUCUUUCAGCUGGGAAGAUAAUGACGGUACCAGCAGAAGAAGCCCCGGCUAACUCCGUG
rnacentral:rRNA from 1 species